rnacentral:rRNA from 1 species
GGACGAUCGCUGGGCGGGCGUGCCUAACGCAUGCAAGUCGAGCGGGGGAUGCUAACUGGAGAGGCGGGAACUCCUGAAGCUUAGCAUCUAGCGGCGGACCGGGUGAGUAACACGUGAGCAACUUCCCCUCUGCACGGGGAUAACAGCUCGAAAGGGCUGCUAAUACCCGAUGGGACCACGUCAUCGCAUGGUGAUGUGGUGAAAGGCUGGACGUAUGGUCCCAUACCGGCUGGGGAUGGGCUCGCGGCCCCAUCAGCUAGUUGGUGGGGUAACGGGCCUACCCAAGGCGACGACGGGUAGCCGGCCUGAGAGGGGUGACCGGCCACAGUGGGACUGAGACACGGCCCACACUCCCUACGGGAGGCAGCAGCGGGGAAUCUUGCGCAAUGGGCGAAAGCCUGACGCAGCGACGUCGCGUGAGGGAAGGAGCCCUUCGGGGUGUAAACCUCUUUGGACGGGGAGAAGUAGGAGAUAGUACCCCGUUUUAAAAAGCCCACGGCUAAACUACGUGCCCAGCAGCCCGCGGUAAUACGUAGGUGGGCGAGCGUUUGUCCCGGAAUUACUGGGCGUAAAAGGUGCGUAGGCGGCCUGGUAAGGUUGAGCGUGAAAAUUUUUGGGCUCAACCCAAAAGGAGCGUUCAAGACUGCCAGGGCUUGAGUGCGGGAGUGGACGGCGGAAUUCCCGGUGUAGCGGUGAAAUGUGUAGAUAUCCGGAGGAACAACCAGUGGCGAAGGGCGGCCGUCUGGACCGUAACUGACGCUGAGGCACGAAAAGCGUGGGGAGCAAACAGGAUUAGAUACCCUGGUAGUGCACGCUGUAAACGAUGGAUGCUAGGUGUGGGGGAGAAGAACUCUUCCGUGCCGGAGUUAACACAAUAAGCAUCCCGCCUGGGGAGUACGGCCGCAAGGUU